AUGUCCCUCAUACCACUAGUUAAUUUAGCAAUUGCUACGCUCCAACUCGGCGAUGGGCAUUAACGCGCCCACAUAUCGUCUUCACUCUCUUUUGCGACCAUAAUACUGAUGAAUUUAACCUUUCUUUUGCUUCGUUCAGCUCUCGGCUUACACCCUACUCGCGAUCUCAAGUUGACUGAUCAAGUACUCCUUAUUGAGCAAAGACCAAGUGCGGACGGUGUUCGCCAUGUAAACCGGUCCGAGUCUCUGUUCAACCUGGUUUUACCUCUACUUUAGAGUACUACCCUCAAGCUUGGAGGUGCAAGUAUCGCAACAAGCUCUUCAUGCCUUAGUCUGUACUGCUCUUGUUUCUUUCUUUCUUUCUUAAAUUCUCUACUUGCUAAUUACUAAGCAUUAAUUUCUUCUUCUCCCUCUCCAGUACUGUGUAUAAAUCAGAAAAGAUCGAUCCAACAAUACUCUCGGUUCAAAUUAAAUUGUACUUUUUUAUAGACUU